AUUGAACGCUGGCGGCAUGCCUUACACAUGCAAGUCGAACGGUAACAGGUUAAGCUGACGAGUGGCGAACGGGUGAGUAAUGUAUCGGAACGUGCCCAGUCGUGGGGGAUAACUGCUCGAAAGAGCAGCUAAUACCGCAUACGACCUGAGGGUGAAAGCGGGGGAUCGCAAGACCUCGCGCGAUUGGAGCGGCCGAUGUCAGAUUAGGUAGUUGGUGAGGUAAAGGCUCACCAAGCCGACGAUCUGUAGCUGGUCUGAGAGGACGACCAGCCACACUGGGACUGAGACACGGCCCAGACUCCUACGGGAGGCAGCAGUGGGGAAUUUUGGACAAUGGGCGCAAGCCUGAUCCAGCCAUGCCGCGUGCGGGAAGAAGGCCUUCGGGUUGUAAACCGCUUUUGUCAGGGAAGAAAAGGUUCUGGCUAAUACCUGGGACUCAUGACGGUACCUGAAGAAUAAGCACCGGCUAACUACGUG
rnacentral:rRNA from 1 species